rnacentral:misc_RNA from 1 species
CGAGGCCAGAGGAGGGUGAAACAGCAUCUGCAUAAGCUGUGUUGUAAAUAUAAGCCUCCUCUUUGAUCUAAACCCUGGUGGUCCAUCCUCUACCAUUUCAGUUUCAUCUUCCACCUUCUCAGUCAAUCUGUUUGUUGCACAAGCCCAGUCCACUUCAGCCGAACUGAUGGUCGGAAGCCAUUGAUGGCCAUGCACCACUAGUUUAUGCCAUGGUACAAGUUCUGAUGUAGCACUUUUACGCUUCUUUGGUCUCAC